rnacentral:rRNA from 1 species
AUUGGACAAUGGGGGCAACCCUGAUCCAGCCAUGCCGCGUGUGUGAAGAAGGUCUUCGNAUUGUANANCACUUUAAGUUGGGAGGNAGGGCUUUAGGUUAAUACCCUGAAGUUUUGACGUUACCAACAGAAUAAGCACCGGCUAAUUCUGUGCCAGCAGCCGCGGUAAUACAGAGGGUGCAAGCGUUAAUCGGAAGUACUGGGCGUAAAUAGCGCGUAUGUGGUUCAGUACGAUGGGGAUGAAAUACCCGGGCUUAACCUGGGAACUGCUUUCAUAACUGCUGAGCUAGAGUACGGUAGAGUGUAGUGGAAUUUCCUGUGUAGCGGUGAAAUGCGUAGAUAUAGGAAGGAACACCAGUGGCGAAGGCGACUACCUGGACUGAUACUGACACUGAGGUGCGAAAGCGUGGGGAGCAAAC